UACGUAGGGUGCGAGCGUUGUCCGGAAUUACUGGGCGUAAAGAGCUCGUAGGUGGUUUGUCGCGUUGUUCGUGAAAACUCACAGCUCAACUGUGGGCGUGCGGGCGAUACGGGCAGACUGGAGUACUGCAGGGGAGACUGGGAUUCCUGGUGUAGCGGUGGAAUGCGCAGAUAUCAGGAGGAACACCGGUGGCGAAGGCGGGUCUCUGGGCAGUAACUGACGCUGAGGAGCGAAAGCGUGGGGAGCGAACAGGA
rnacentral:rRNA from 1 species